rnacentral:rRNA from 1 species
UACGUAGGGUGCAAGCGUUAAUCGGAAUUACUGGGCGUAAAGCGUGCGCAGGCGGUUGUGCAAGACCGAUGUGAAAUCCCCGGGCUUAACCUGGGAAUGUCAUUGGUGACUGCACGGCUAGAGUGUGUCAGAGGGGGGUAGAAUUCCACGUGUAGCAGUGAAAUGCGUAGAGAUGUGGAGGAAUACCGAUGGCGAAGGCAGCCCCCUGGGAUAACACUGACGCUCAUGCACGAAAGCGUGGGGAGCAAACAGG